GACGUCGUGCCCGAGUGGUUAAGGGGAGUGAUUAGAACUGCUCAAUAUCACUUACGUUCUGCGUGCGCAAGUUCGAGUCUUGUCGACGUCG